AGAUUGAACGCUGGCGGCAGGCCUAACACAUGCAAGUCGAGCGGUAGCACAGAGAGCUUGCUCUCGGGUGACGAGCGGCGGACGGGUGAGUAAUGUCUGGGAAACUGCCUGAUGGAGGGGGAUAACUACUGGAAACGGUAGCUAAUACCGCAUAAUGUCGCAAGACCAAAGUGGGGGACCUUCGGGCCUCAUGCCAUCAGAUGUGCCCAGAUGGGAUUAGCUAGUAGGUGGGGUAACGGCUCACCUAGGCGACGAUCCCUAGCUGGUCUGAGAGGAUGACCAGCCACACUGGAACUGAGACACGGUCCAGACUCCUACGGGAGGCAGCAGUGGGGAAUAUUGCACAAUGGGCGCAAGCCUGAUGCAGCCAUGCCGCGUGUGUGAAGAAGGCCUUCGGGUUGUAAAGCACUUUCAGCGGGGAGGAAGGCGNUAAGGUUAAUAACCUUGNCGAUUGACGUUACCCGCAGAAGAAGCACCGGCUAACUCCGUGCCAGCAGCCGCGGUAAUACGGAGGGUGCAAGCGUUAAUCGGAAUUACUGGGCGUAAAGCGCACGCAGGCGGUCUGUCAAGUCGGAUGUGAAAUCCCCGGGCUCAACCUGGGAACUGCAUUCGAAACUGGCAGGCUAGAGUCUUGUAGAGGGGGGUAGAAUUCCAGGUGUAGCGGUGAAAUGCGUAAAGAUCUGGAGGAAUACCGGUGGCGAAGGCGGCCCCCUGGACAAAGACUGACGCUCAGGUGCGAAAGCGUGGGGAGCAAACAGGAUUAGAUACCCUGGUAGUCCACGCCGUAAACGAUGUCGAUUUGGAGGUUGUGCCCUUGA
rnacentral:rRNA from 1 species